UACGAAGGGGGCUAGCGUUGUUCGGAAUUACUGGGCGUAAAGGGCGCGCAGGCGGCAGAUCAAGUCAGAUGUGAAAGCCCCGGGCUUAACCUGGGAACUGCAUUUGGGACUGGUUUGCUAGAGAUCGGGAGAGGAGAGUGGAAUUCCCAGUGUAGAGGUGAAAUUCGUAGAUAUUGGGAAGAACACCGGUGGCGAAGGCGGCUCUCUAGUACGGUACUGACGCUGAGACGCGAAAGCGUGGGGAGCGAACAGG
rnacentral:rRNA from 1 species